UUGCCUCUUGAUUCCUAAUAAGAGGUAAUUCCUGCCCAGUGAUAAAAUUCAACGGCCGCGGUAUCCUAACCGUGCAAAGGUAGCAUAAUCACUUGCCCAUUAAUUGUGGGCUAGAAUGAACGGACCAACGAAAUAAGAACUGUCUCUGUAAGUUUCAUAAAAAUUAAUCUCUAACUGAAGAGUGUUAGAUAACCUUGAAGGACAAGAAGACCCUAUAGAGCUUUAUUUAAUUAAAAUAAUAUAUAAUAUUUUAAAAAUUCGGUUGGGGCGACCAGGGAAAACAUAAAUCAUCCCACACUUUAAGAUUCCUACAUCUUAUUAAUGACCCUUAAACAAGAUCAAUAAACCAAGCUACCUUAGGGAUAACAGGCUAAUCCCGUUAAAGAGUCCUUAUUAAUAACGGGGUUUGGCACCUCGAUGUUGGCUUAGGAAAUCCAUACGGCGCAAAAGUCGUAUAAUGAUGGUUUGUUCAACCAAUAAUUUCCUACAUGAGCUGAGUUCAGACCGGCGUAAGCCAGGUUAGUUUCUAUCCGCAAUAAAAUAAUCUAUCUAUAGUACGAAAGGACCUAGAUAAGAAUAAUAAUUAUAAAAUAAGAAUAAAUAUAAUAUAAGUUAAAUUUAUAAGUUCAUAUACUAUG
rnacentral:rRNA from 1 species